rnacentral:rRNA from 1 species
GGGUUGUGAGGUUAAGCGACUAAGCGUACACGGUGGAUGCCCUGGCAGUCAGAGGCGAUGAAGGGCGUGCUAAUCUGCGAUAAGCGCCGGUAAGGUGAUAUGAACCGCAAUAACCGGCGAUACCCGAAUGGGGAAACCCAGUGUGUUUCGACACACUAUCAUGCAGUGAAUACAUAGCUGUAUGAGGCGAACCGGGGGAACUGAAACAUCUAAGUACCCCGAGGAAAAGAAAUCAACCGAGAUUCCCCCAGUAGCGGCGAGCGAACGGGGAGGAGCCCAGAACCAUCAUCAGCUUGUGCAUCAGUGGAAGCGUCUGGAAAGUCGCAGGGUACAGGGUGAUACUCCCGUACACAAAGGUGCAUGAGUUGUGAGUUCGAUGAGUAAGGCGGGACACGUGGUAUCCUGUCUGAAUAUGGGGGGACCAUCCUCCAAGGCUAAAUACUCCUGACUGACCGAUAGUGAACCAGUACCGUGAGGGAAAGGCGAAAAGAAC